rnacentral:misc_RNA from 1 species
GGAAGGUGGGAAAAGUAUAGUAGCCAAGCAUAUGGCAGAACAAGUUGUUGAGGCGCAUAAAGAGGUGAAAUUAAAGUUAGAAGAGGCUAAUAAGAAGUAUAAAGAUGCAGUUGAUAAACACAGGCGAAAGUAAGUGUUUGAGAUGGGAACAAAUGUGAUGGUGUUUUUAAGACGUGAGCGGUUUCCCGUGGGUACCUAUAGCAAGCUUCAA